GUGGGGAAUCUUGGACAAUGGGCGCAAGCCUGAUCCAGCCAUGCCGCGUGAGUGAUGAAGGCCUUAGGGUUGUAAAACUCUUUCGUCGGGGACGAUAAUGACGGUACCCGAAGAAGAAGCCCCGGCUAACUUCGUGCCAGCAGCCGCGGUAAUACGAAGGGGGCUAGCGUUGUUCGGAUUUACUGGGCGUAAAGAGCGUGUAGGCGGACUGGUAAGUUGGGGGUGAAAUCCCGAGGCUCAACCUCGGAACUGCCUCCAAAACUGUCAGUCUGGACUCAAGUAGAGGCAAGUGGAAUACCGAGUGUAGAGGUGAAAUUCGUAGAUAUUCGGUGGAACACCAGUGGCGAAGGCGACUUGCUGGACUUGUAGUGACGCUGAGACGCGAAAGCGUGGGGAGCAAACAGGAUUAGAAACCCUAGUAGUCC
rnacentral:rRNA from 1 species